rnacentral:rRNA from 1 species
UACGUAGGGUGCAAGCGUUGUCCGGAAUUAUUGGGCGUAAAGAGCUCGUAGGCGGUUUGUCGCGUCGAAUGUGAAAACCCGGGGCUCAACCCCGGGCCUGCAUUCGAUACGGGCAGACUAGAGUUCGGUAGGGGGAGUCUGGAAUUCCCGGUGUAGCGGUGAAAUGCGCAGAGUAUCAGGAGGAACACCGGUGGCGAAGGCGGAUCUCUGGGCCAUUACUGACGCUGGAGGAGCGAAAGCGUGGGGAGCGAACAGG